CUCUCUUGACAUCCGUUAGAUCUAAAAAAAUAGCUUACCUUGCAGACUGUUCAAAUGCCAAUGAUUUCCUUCUCCCCCCUUUCUCGUCCAGUUAAUUGACCCCGCAACUUCUGGUCUGGAAGCCAGGAAAUGUCGUUUAAGAGCCUCGUCCGUGAGCUGAGGGAUGGGAUUGGGAGCAUGUCAAGAAGAGGAGGAGGAGCGAUGGAAGGGAUGAUGACCGCGCACAGCCGAGGAUGUGCCCCGCAUCCGCAAGAGCUGGAAGAGCAGCAGCAGCAGGGGAGGUGGGCGAACCUGCCGCCGGAGCUGCUGCUGGAUGUGAUCCAGAGAGUGGAGGCGAGUGAGGUGGCGUGGCCGGAGAGGAGGCAUGUGCUAGCGUGCGCGGCGGUGUGCCGCUCGUGGCGGAACAUCACGAAGGAGGUGGUCAGGUCCCCCGAGCAAUGCGGCCAGAUCACCUUCCCUUUCCCCCUCAAGCAGCCCGGGCCACGAGAUCACCCGAUUCAGUGCUUUAUAAGGAGGGAGAGAGCGACGUCGACCUUCUGCUUGUACCUGGGUCUGACCCCCUCACUGCAGGGGCAGAGUGACAAGCUUUUGUUGGCAGCCCACAAGAUCAGACGUGCAACGAGCACCAACUUUGUGAUCUCAUUGAAUCCUGAUGAUUUCUCUCGAGCUAGCAGUACCUAUAUUGGAAAAGCGAGGUCAAACUUUCUGGCAACAAAGUUCACUGUUUAUGACAGCGAGCCUCCUUUUGAUGCUGCAGUUUCUUCAAGCAAUCGUUCAAAUCGAAGGAUUCAUUCUAGGCAAGUGUCCUCGAGAGUACCGGCUGGCAAUUACAACAUUGCUACCAUCUCCUAUGAGCUGAACAUCUUGCGAACCCGAGGGCCACGAAGAAUGCAGUGCAUGAUGCACUCGAUCCCCAUCUCCUCCAUCCAAGAAGGUGGGAGUGUCCCUGCACCCAGCAGUUUCAUUCACUCCGUCGAUCAACGGCUCUCCAGUUUACCAGUUGUGAAGGGCAAGGAGCCGGUGAUAGGUUUUUCUUCCACCAGUCUCAAUGAAUCAAAUGCACCUGUCCAGAUCAAUGGAGAAUCUCUCAUUCUAAAGAAUAAAGCCCCUCGGUGGCAUGAGCAGCUUCAGUGCUGGUGCUUGAACUUUAGAGGACGAGUAACAGUGGCUUCUGUCAAGAACUUUCAGCUUGUGGCAGCUGCAGAUCCUUCCUGUCAUGUUUCUCCAGCAGAGCAAGAAAAAGUUAUUCUUCAGUUUGGUAAAAUAGGAAAGGAUAUUUUCACUAUGGAUUAUCAAUAUCCACUCUCUGCAUUUCAGGCAUUUGCAAUUUGCUUGACGAGUUUUGACACUAAGCCAGCAUGUGAAUGAACCAGUGAAGUGACUUCGGUGGCAGACUUCUGUCAAGUUCGAGAUCUUGGAGGAGGGAGUGCUUGUCUUUACUAAAUGUUACUCAUCUCACAAAAUGCUUUAUCCGAUGGACAUGGAUGGAUGCAAGGCAUGGUCUCUACCUGCAUGUUGUGAGUACCAAGUAUGUAGCUUAUGGGUCCAAUUGAUCGGAACCUCAAACUCUUGAAACAUGUGGAAUAUCGGACAUCAGCUUUGCAUGUGCUUUUCCUCUUAAACCAUUCAUAUGUUCCUGCUUAUCAACUGUCGCUUGUCCCGGGUUGGACAUGGCUCUGCCUGGAAUCAGGGUUUGAUUACGAUAUAUUCAGUAUUAUAUUAUUGCGAACUCCUCGUUUGAGUUAUAUGAAGGUUUUGUUUGUUGGUGCGCUUCUGGAUCUUCUUUGGCAUGGGUCAUCUUCACUUUGGCUCCAGCUUUUGCUUCUGAUUCUUGGCUGUAAGGAUUCAUCAAGCCUGUUAUG